CGGUACCUGAAGAAUAAGCACCGGCUAACUACGUGCCAGCAGCCGCGGUAAUACGUAGGGUGCAAGCGUUAAUCGGAAUUACUGGGCGUAAAGCGUGCGCAGGCGGUUAUGCAAGACAGAUGUGAAAUCCCCGGGCUCAACCUGGGAACUGCAUUUGUGACUGUAUAGCUAGAGUACGGUAGAGGGGGAUGGAAUUCCGCGUGUAGCAGUGAAAUGCGUAGAUAUGCGGAGGAACACCGAUGGCGAAGGCAAUCCCCUGGACCUGUACUGACGCUCAUGCACGAAAGCGUGGGGAGCAAACAGGA
rnacentral:rRNA from 1 species